rnacentral:lncRNA from 1 species
AAGAAAGAUGUAGAAGAAGCCCAAAGAAGAAAGAAAAAUAAACAACCUGACUUGAGCAGAGGAGAAAGAGAGAGUCUCCACGAUACGAAACCAUUUUUCUCUUCUUCUCCGCCUGAAUCUCGCCCCAGAUGAAUUUGAAGGGACAUUCUCACUUGUCAAAUUAUUCACACAAGCACCAGACUCUGUCUGCAUCUGUUUCGAGUUAGUCCGAAAACCAGCAGC